GGGGGCGUCAGGGUUUCGACGGGACUCCUUGAAUUAGAAGAGGCGAGUCGAGGUCUCCACCGGGGCUCGUAAAAAAGGUGGUAAAAACAUAAACGCCGAAGAUAAUUUGGCACUUGCUGCUUAAUUAAAGCAGCACACCCUUGAACUCGGUGCUCACAGAGUUCAAGCAGGUGUCAAAUAGUGGGCAACCUUCUGGGAGUUCUCGGGUACCAGAAGCGAAAAUACCGAGAUAGUGAGUUGCUUUCCUGCCUCUGGGAAGGUAAUUCACGAAACUAAAAAACAGAGGCUACACUCGUAGGCUCUUCUAACUCUCGAGUUUCGGACGCGGGUUCGACUCCCGCCGCCUCCACCA
rnacentral:tmRNA from 1 species